rnacentral:rRNA from 1 species
UGGGGAAUUUUGGACAAUGGGCGAAAGCCUGAUCCAGCAAUGCCGCGUGUGUGAUGAAGGCCUUCGGGUUGUAAAGCACUUUUGGCGGGAACGAAAAGGACCGUGCUAAUACCAUGGUUCGAUGACGGUACCCGCAGAAUAAGCACCGGCUAACUACGUGCCAGCAGCCGCGGUAAUACGUAGGGUGCAAGCGUUAAUCGGAAUUACUGGGCGUAAAGAGUGCGCAGGCGGUUUUGCAAGACCGAUGUGAAAUCCCCGGGCUUAACCUGGGAACUGCAUUGGUGACUGCAAGGCUAGAGUGUGUCAGAGGGAGGUGGAAUUCCGCAUGUAGCAGUGAAAUGCGUAGAUAUGCGGAGGAACACCGAUGGCGAAGGCAGCCUCCUGGGAUAACACUGACGCUCAUGCACGAAAGCGUGGGGAGCAAACAGGAUUAGAUACCCUGGUAGUCCACGCCCUAAACGAUGUCUACUAGUUGUCGGGGAUUAAUUUCCUUGGUAACGCAGCUAACGCGUGAAGUAGACCGCCUGGGGAGUACGGUCGCAAGAUU